rnacentral:rRNA from 1 species
GAUGAACGCUGGCGGCGUGCCUAAUACAUGCGAGUCGAGCGAACAGACGAGGAGCUUGCUCCUCUGACGUUAGCGGCGGACGGGUGAGUAACACGUGGAUAACCUACCUAUAAGACUGGGAUAACUUCGGGAAACCGGAGCUAAUACCGGAUAAUAUAUUGAACCGCAUGGUUCAAUAGUGAAAGACGGUUUUGCUGUCACUUAUAGAUGGAUCCGCGCCGCAUUAGCUAGUUGGUAAGGUAACGGCUUACCAAGGCGACGAUGCGUAGCCGACCUGAGAGGGUGAUCGGCAACACUGGAACUGAGACACGGUCCAGACCCCUACGGGAGGCAGCAGUAGGGAAUCUUCCGCAAGGGGCGAAAGCCUGACGGAGAAACGCGGCGUGAGUGAUGAAGGUCUUCGGAUCGUAAAACUCUGUUAUUAGGGAAGAACAAAUGUGUAAGUAACUAUGCACGUCUUGACGGUACCUAAUCAGAAAGCCACGGCUAACUACGU